rnacentral:rRNA from 1 species
CCUACGGGUGGCAGCAGUGAGGAAUAUUGGUCAAUGGACGAGAGUCUGAACCAGCCAAGUAGCGUGAAGGAUGACUGCCCUAUGGGUUGUAAACUUCUUUUAUAUGGGAAUAAAAUGUUCCACGUGUGGGUUUUUGUAUGUACCAUAUGAAUAAGGAUCGGCUAACUCCGUGCCAGCAGCCGCGGUAAUCCGGAGGAUCCGAGCGUUAUCCGGAUUUAUUGGGUUUAAAGGGAGCGUAGGUGGAUUGUUAAGUCAGUUGUGAAAGUUUGCGGCUCAACCGUAAAAUUGCAGUUGAAACUGGCAGUCUUGAGUACAGUAGAGGUGGGCGGAAUUCGUGGUGUAGCGGUGAAAUGCUUAGAUAGCACGAAGAACUCCGAUUGCGAAGGCAGCUCACUGGACUGCAACUGACACUGAGGCUCGAAAGUGUGGGUAUCAAACAGGAUUAGAUACCCCAGUAGUC